GGGGCUGUAGUUCAGUUUGGGAGAACGCUUGACUGGCAGUCAAGAGGUCACCGGUUCGGGUCCGGUCAGCUCCACAA
rnacentral:tRNA from 1 species